CCUCAUCCUCAGAAGAAUGGAACAGUUUGGGGUGGAGAACGUUAUCAGUAAGUUUCUGUGUUAAAAGAUGUGGAGGGACCGCAGGGAAAUCAGGUCUGAGAAAAAUGCAGUCACUGACUAGGCAGAUAGGUUUCAUAUUCCUGAUGAAUCUACCUAGGAUGAAGGGCAUCUGUGGGUCUGACUGGGAUGAAGCAGCAGCCCUUCUGGUAUUGGCAGAAGACUGUGUUAUUAGUGAUGUUGCUGUGGACACACACGUACCUUCUAUUUGCUAUUCCUGAACUGGGAAAAGCAGCAUC
rnacentral:lncRNA from 1 species